rnacentral:misc_RNA from 1 species
GAUGAAGAACGCAGCGAAAUGCGAUACUUGGUGUGAAUUGCAGAAUCCCGUGAACCAUCGAGUCUUUGAACGCAAGUUGCGCCUCAAGCCAUUAGGUUGAGGGCACGUCUGCCUGGGCGUCACAUAUCGUUGCCUGAUGCCAGUUUCCUCGUGAUGGGUGACUGUGCAGGGCGAAUGAUGGCUUCCCGUGAGCAUUGUUGCCUCAUGGUUGGUUGAAAAUUGAGUCCUUGGUAGGGAGCGCCGUGAUAGAUGGUGGUUGAGUGACGAACGAGACCCAAUCAUGUGAGACCCCUACCGAAUUUGGCCUUCAUGCCCCACAUGCGUCUUUGGAACGCUCAUGACGAGACCUCAGGUCAGGCGGGGCUACCCGCUGAGUUUAAGCAUAUCAAUAAGCGGAGGA